CUGCAACGAGGGAUAAACUCCGUAACCGAUAGACCUCCUUCCCUCGGCUUCUGGGGCAAGAUACACGUCAGGAGAAGGAAGACAAAAUCUUCCCACACAACAGAAAUAAUACACCACUACUGAAAGAAGUAAGGGAGCUGGACAGAGGCAGCUCAGCAUUCCAGAGAAACAAUAUUACAAGAGCACCACCAAGGACUUCCAAAUACAACAUCUGCUGCUAAAGUUCUGGUGAGUUUGUACGACCACAUUAAAGAACCCCUGAGAUAGGAAAAGAACCAAUACACUAUUUACAGCGGUGUUAGUGUUCCCAGACUUCCCUUCUGAGAAAUUAUUUACAGACAAGACAGACUUACUAAGAGUUACGGAAAGAGUAAAGCUGCUCUAGCCCCACUGAGGGACCUUGGACCUGUGGCCGGCUGUGGGUGGUGUUAAGAAGACUUCCUCACGACACUCAAGAACACACACAAGGCCUCCAAAAGUCAACACAGAACAACUUGAGGUGCAAUAAACACACACAGCUCUAUUGACGGAGCCACCGGCGGGGACGCAAGGGAAGCCAGAAGCGGGACUUUUUCUUGCAGGGAACACCGAGCCUGGCAGACCUGGACACCCUCACUAAGGG